UAUAUACGAACCAGACUUUUGGUUUCAAUUUAUUAAAUUAAUUACAACAUUGUAUUGCUUACAGUUGUGAAAUUUGGAUCUUGAUUUGCACUAAAAACACUACAGUCCAUAGUGGCAACAACAAUAUCUGGACAACAUGCAGCUUCAUCUCUACACAGAAAAGAAUCAUAGAGGAAGUGCUAAAAGAUGAGAGCUAUAUCUGGGAGCUCAAGGCCCAGCUGAAUUCUCAUUUGUAUGAGUUGUAGGCAGGUCAAGAGGUUGCAUUGCAGUUGAAAACGUUUACAAGGGACGCUCAAGCAAGUUGCUAGUGUGAUCAACGCAGUGAUAAGGAAG
rnacentral:lncRNA from 1 species